CAAAACCAACACUUUCUCACACGAAAUUUCCAUGCAUUGAUAUGCAAUCCACGCCUAUAUAUGAAGAUGGCUAAUCAGAGAAAUGAAAAAGCAAAGCAAGAAAUGCGAGAAACUGGCGGUUGGGGGAAUCUUGUCGCAGGAGCGAUGGCACUGCCUUUUGUUUUUGUUUUCCUUGUAUAGCAACACAGCACAGUGCCAUCGGCCUGCGACAAGGUACCCUGCAACUUCCUUUAAUUUGUUCGUCAUCUUCUCCAUGGUUUCUCACAGAUGUUGAUACUGUUGAAAGAUGUAUCAGUGGCACUGGCAGGCAAUUGUAGUAACUGGUUUUUCACAGUAAUAUAGAUCAAUUCCAAAUGCUUUGUAAA